CUCCCCUGCAUGUCUUGCGGUCUAAGUGCCGCACGGAGCGUUGCCACGGGCUCUGACCCCGCGGCCUUCACAAGAUUUACAGUGGAGCUGACGGACCGGAGGAGAGAGAAGGGAGCUGACAGGAGCUGCAGGAAAGGUAAGUUACAGCUCACUGCCAGCCCCCUCAUUACAAGCACGGCGGUCCUGGUCUGUAUUAUGGCAAUUUAAGUUGCCAUAAUACAGACAGUGACUCGAGUGGGGGUUUUUCAGCACAAAAAAUGUGCUGAAAAAUCCGACUUAUACUCUAGUAUAUAUGGUAUUUACCUUUUGUGUAAGCAUUAUAAAUUACACACCGUGGCUAUAAUAAAAAUAUAUGACAGUUUUCCUCUACAGAUGGGUCUACAAUCAUGUCACUUUGACUUAGUGCUUACGUAAAUGGAAACAGUAAUCCUAGCUUGUUAGUACUGAUUAAUGAUCAUAUUGUAAUUAUCUUUUGUUUAUAUAACUACAAUAGAUUGUAUAA